rnacentral:rRNA from 1 species
GAUGAACGCUGGCGGCGUGCCUAAUACAUGCAAGUCGAGCGAACAGACGAGGAGCUUGCUCCUCUGACGUUAGCGGCGGACGGGUGAGUAACACGUGGAUAACCUACCUAUAAGACUGGGAUAACUUCGGGAAACCGGAGCUAAUACCGGAUAAUAUAUUGAACCGCAUGGUUCAAUAGUGAAAGACGGUUUUGCUGUCACUUAUAGAUGGAUCCGCGCCGCAUUAGCUAGUUGGUAAGGUAACGGCGUACCAAGGCAACGAUGCGUAGCCGACCUGAGAGGGUGGUCGGCCACACUGGAACUGAGACACGGUCCAGACUCCUACGGGAGGCAGCAGUAGGGAAUCUUCCGCAAUGGGCGAAAGCCUGACGGAGCAACGCCGCGUGAGUGAUGAAGGUCUUCGGAUCGUAAAACUCUGUUAUUAGGGAAGAACAAAUGUGUAAGUAACUAUGCACGUCUUGACGGUACCUAAUCAGAAAGCCACGGCUAACUACGUG